GACGACGCUGGCGGCGUGGAUUAGGCAUGCAAGUCGAACGGUAUCAUCCUUUCGGGGGUGAGAGAGUGGCGAACUGGUGAGUAACACGUAGGUUAUCUACCCUCAAGACGGGGACAACCCAGGGAAACUUGGGCUAAUACCGGAUGUGAGCAACUUUUAGUUGUUUGAAAGGUGGCGUAAGCUGUCGCUUGGGGAUGAGCCUGCGUCCUAUUAGUUAGUUGGUGAGGUAACGGCUCACCUAGGCAAUGAUAGGUAGGCGGCCUUAACGGGUGGUCGCCCACACUGGGAUCGAGAUACGGCCCAGACUCCUACGGGAGGCAGCAGUCGAGAAUAGUCUACAAUGGUCGGAAGACUGAUAGUGCGACGCCGCGUGAACGAUGAAUCCCUUCGGGGUGUAAAGUUCUUUUAUAUGUGAGCAGUGCUUCUUACAUUAACAGUAUGGGGAGAGAGAUAUUAGCAUAUGAAUAAGCAACGGCUAACUCCGUG
rnacentral:rRNA from 1 species